rnacentral:rRNA from 1 species
UACGGGGGGGGCAAGCGUUGUUCGGAAUUACUGGGCGUAAAGGGCGCGUAGGCGGUUGGAUAAGUCAGCUGUGAAAACCACGGGCUUAACUCGUGGCCUGCAGUUGAGACUGUCAGGCUUGAGUGUGGGAGAGGAGAGUGGAAUUCCUGGUGUAGCGGUGAAAUGCGUAGAUAUCAGGAGGAACACCGGUGGCGAAGGCGGCUCUCUGGACCACAACUGACGCUGAGGCGCGAAAGCUAGGGGAGCAAACAGG